AACUACACAGUGUUUCCAUAAGAUACAUAAAAUAAGUAAAAUAUUUUAGAUGACAGUUGAUUUGAUUUUUGGCAUUUCCUUCAUAGGCAGUUUUAUUCAUCACAUAUAUUAAUGAUGUCCAAUCCGGGUGUAUGCCAAAUGAUGUUAAGAUGCAUCUGGAUGACCUGUUGUUGGAAGAGCACAUGUUUGAGAUUAAGGUGUUCUCACCUGAAACAAAGGGACACAAGCUUCUGUCAGUAGUAAACACCUUAUGUUCAACCUUGAAUAAUAAUAAACUUAAGGACAAAAAUAAAAUAAAAGUGCUAGAAACCUUUGAAAUAAUGCUGUAUUAUGUGAGUAUACUGCUUACUCUUAACAUAUUCUGUCAUUCUGUUUCAAAUAUCGAAUAAAAUCAGUUCUGACUGCAUGGUUUCCCUAUUUCUCUCUAUAGCUAGACAAACCAAAUACAAACAUUUGUGCUAUUCUGAACUGCACAGAUGAGUACACAGUACGCCGCAUUGACACUAAAACUUUUGGAGAAAUGUACAAAAAUUCUUGUAAUGGACCAGUUUCAGGUAUGGACAUUUAACCUGUCAUCAUUUAUGCUUUUUCUUUAGUCUUGCUCAUCCUUAAUUUCUUCAUAAUAUGAACAAUGGCCACCAUAAAUCUCUGGCAUUUCAUUAAGACAGAAUAUUUAAUAAACAAACAAGCAAAAUUACA
ensembl:lncRNA